UUAUAGACUGAUCAUUUCUUUGUCAGUGGGCAAACGUACAAAAUCAGCAGGGGAUCAAAUACUUUUUUCCCCUCACUGUAUCAGUUCCAAUAGUUUGUUUGUCCUUGAUAACCUAGUUUGAUCUAUUUUUCAUUAUUUGUUUCCAGCAAAGACUCAGUUGCUGCAGUGUAAUUUAACUGUGUGCUUCACACACCCUGAUAAGGUAGCAUGUCUGCACUCUGGUGUAGAAGACUCAAUGGGGCUGACAGCAUCUCCAGAAUUGGCAGAGUCAAGAGAUAAUGGUAGUAAGAGAAAUAAAAUUAGCAGUUAAAUGUAUUAAAAGUUGUUAGGCAUGAGACAAUCAUUAAAACCACAAUCCCCAGUGAAGUCCACUUUUUAUAUAAAUUAUUACACCCAAAAUGAAAAAUCCACGCAAAUGCACUGGUUAUAAACUUACAGAUUUAUAAACUUACUAUAAAUUAAAGUUCACGUAAUAGUUGUCUUCAAUAUGUUCCAUGUACCAUGACAAAUAGUAUGUUUGGCUUGAUUACAUCUUAAUAUGCUGCUGGCUGAAAGCUUUUGAGACUGCUCAGGCUUAGAUCAUAUAUCUGCUACUGCUGUUUUUGAGUUAGAUUAAAUGGAUACCUCUAUUUUUUUAGAUGGAUAUCUUUGUAAUCUGCUUAUGUCAACUUGUAAUCUGUUUAAGAGUUUGUUAACAAACAACUGAUUGUACUUUGUAAAUGUUGCCUUUUAUUUUGUACCAUGCAAAAUUUAUUGUAUUGUACUGUAGUGACAAUAAAUAUAUUAUUUUCCCAGCAAUCACAGCAGUAGCCAGGCUAAACUUUGGUAUUCUAGAUAUUUAGUUUUUUUUCUUGCUUGUUGGUAAACUGAAAAUUAUUCCAAGGCUGUGCCACUGUUAUUUAAUUCCCCGUUUUCUCACCUUAACAGUGGCAUAUUCCUCACGUUGCUAUUUUGUCUCAAGGAAUACUUCAGAUUCCCUUCAUGUCAGCAGUUUUACAUGCUACUGAAAAUUCAUGUCCUGUGAUUUGAUUCAGCGUUUUUGUUUUAAAAUCUGGGUUUUAGUUUGUGUUUAUAAUGCUAUGACACAGAUGUAUGUAGUAAGUAUGCAUUAAAUUCCAGGGUUUAAUAGAAUUACUGUUUCUUUUGCUCUUAUGUAUAUACAGCGGGGUCCAAAAGUCUGAGUUUUUAAAAAUAUUUUAUUUAAAAUAAAAGGUUUUUUAUUUUGAAAUAUUUAAAACAAAGAAAGUGUUUAACAUGUUGAAUAUUUUAUAUUCCAGAUUCUGCACUAUUUUUAGGUCCCUAUGUAAAUGUAAGCAAAUUUGUGAUAUUGACCAUGUUAACUGCUGUGUACAAAAGGUGAGAUUUUCCUCAGGUUUUCCAGAUGAAACUCUGAUGAGUCUGAUCUAAACUUGUGGAGUCCAUGCUCGCUUGAGUGCACACGGUCAUUAAAGCAAACAGGGGACAUAUCAAAUACUAAGAAACUCUGAAAUUAUUGUAAAUAUUUGAAUGAUUCUACUUUUCUUUCAAGUUAUGGUCAAUAAUUUGUAAUGAAAAUUGUUGUGUUAAUUUAGAAAAG
ensembl:lncRNA